rnacentral:rRNA from 1 species
UAUACCGCGUGUGUGAAGAAGGCCCUAGGGUUGUAAAGCACUUUAAGUUGGGAAGAAAAGUUAUUGGUUAAUACCCAAUAACCGUGACAUUACCAUCAGAAUAAGGACCGGCUAAUUCCGUGCCAGCAGCCGCGGUAAUACGGAAGGUCCAAGCGUUAAUCGGAAUUACUGGGCGUAAAGCGCGCGUAGGUGGUUUAUUAAGUUGGAUGUGAAAUCCCCGGGCUCAACCUGGGAACUGCAUCCAAAACUGAUUCACUAGAGUACGAUAGAGGGAGGUAGAAUUCACAGUGUAGCGGUGGAAUGCGUAGAUAUUGUGAAGAAUACCAAUGGCGAAGGCAGCCUCCUGGAUCUGUACUGACACUGAGGUGCGAAAGCGUGGGUAGCGAACAGGAUUAGAUACCCUGGUAGUCCACGCCGUAAACGAUGUCAACUAGCUGUUGGAAAACUAUGUUUUUCAGUGGCGCAGCUAACGUAGUAAGUUGACCGCCUGGGGAGUACGGCCGCAAGGCUAAAACUCAAAUGAAUUGACGGGGACCCGCACAAGCGGUGGAGCAUGUGGUUUAAUUCGAUGCAACGCGAAAAACCUUACCUAUACUUGACAUACUUGGAAUGCUUUGUAAUGAAGCAGUGCCUUCGGGAGCCAAGAUACAGGUGCUGCAUGGCUGUCGUCAGCUCGUGUCGUGAGAUGUUCCGUUAAGUCGGAUAACGAGCGCAACCCUUACCCUUAUUUGCCAGCGAUUCGGUCGGGAACUAUAAGGGGACUGCCGGUGAUAAACCGGAGGAAGGUGAGGACGACGUCAAGUCAUCAUGGCCCUUACGUAUAGGGCUACACACGUGCUACAAUGGAGAAUACAGACGGACGCUAAGCCGCGAGGUGGUGCUAAUCCUAGAAAAUUCUUCGUAGUCCGGAUUGGAGUCUGCAACUCGACUCCAUGAAGUC